AAGAGGCCCUAUUUAAACAUCAGUCACUUCCACAUAGCAGCUAGACCAAAAAAGAGAUGAGAGUAAUAUUUUCCUCGAUGGUCAGCAUCCUUUGAUGUAACUGAUCUGUUCAUAUUAGGAAAAGACAGUU